AGCUGUCAACGUACUCUGAGCAGUUUUGCUUUCAUCCUUUCCUAUUCAUAAAUGUUGGUUUGGCAAGUGCUUGUUUAUUUGGUGUGGCUGCGUAGAGAACUACUACCAUGGAGCAAAUGCUCCAGAUGUGGGCCAACGUGGUUCCUAUUCUAAAAAGAGCACUCUUGUUUUUGAAGGGCAACCAAAGGACAUUCUAGUUGGAGGUCGGAAACACAGCUUAGCAACUCUGAAGCUGCCCAUCCACAAACUGCACCUGGACAGCUGACUUGAUAGGUCUGAUUUUGGCAGCUGAUCACAGUCUUCCUCAGUCAGAAAUGUAAAGAAGGAACAGAGGUUUGUAGGGGGUAAGAUGAGAAAUGCAAAUCCUGAACCAUGACACCGGCCUAUUGUGGGGAAGAAUGUCUGCCCAUGAAUCCAGAUUAAGAUAGAGGACAUCAUUUAUUGCUCUGUUAUGGUGAAAACAUGCAUUGUAAUCCACAUGGGCUCAGGAGCUUCGUUCUUAACACUGUCUUGCAAUUUCAUUAAUUUUCGCAGAAAUGGCAUAGCGACAUAAUCUCAUUUCUCACACAGACACACAUAUGUGCACAACUUGCUAUGCAUAUUUUGUUCUUUUCACUCCACUAUCAAGAAACUUGUCUACUCUUCCAUCUUGAGCAUUUAACCUUAUUUACUUCUCUUUCUGCAAAUGCCUAUAAUUAGUCUAACCUUGUCACACAAACAAUGAGUCAGCUUAUCGCUGUUCGUGAACAAGCAAACAAGGAAACAAGGAAAAAUUACAACCCACAAACUGCAUUUUAAGGAGGAAAGUGGUGGAAAUAUUUACUAGUAACUAGUCUUCUGAAAGUUUCAGCGUAAUUGCAUACUUACACCUUUGCCAUUUUUGAAUGGUUUCCCCGCAUCAUUAAAAACCUUUAUACUGUUCACACCCACUUUUGCACAGUAUGUACAUCAUAAUUUCUCAUUAUGCUUCUCCGACUCCAUUACAUUUUAACCCACAAUUUAUGAUGAAAAUAAAGUCAAACUUAAACCAA